UACGGGGGAUGCAAGCGUUAUCCGGAUUUAUUGGGUUUAAAGGGUGCGUAGGCUGUGAGGUAAGUCAGCGGUGAAAUGCCCCCGCUCAACGGGGUGAAGUGCCAUUGAUACUGCCUUGCUGGAAUGCGGAUGCCGUGGGAGGAAUGUGUGGUGUAGCGGUGAAAUGCAUAGACAUCACACAGAACACCGAUUGCGAAGGCAUCUCACGAAUCCGCGAUUGACGCUGAUGCACGAAAGCGUGGGUAUCAAACAGG
rnacentral:rRNA from 1 species